rnacentral:rRNA from 1 species
AGGGCACCACCAGGAGUGGAGCCUGCGGCUUAAUUUGACUCAACACGGGGAAACUUACCCGGCCUGGACACUGGAAGGAUUGACAGAUUGAGAGCUCUUUCUUGAUUCAGUGGGUGGUGGUGCAUGGCCGUUCUUAGUUGGUGGAGCGAUUUGUCUGGUUAGUUCCGAUAACGAACGAGACUCUAGCCUAUUAAAUAGGCUCUCGGCUUUUAAACGCCGGGAGGACUUCUUAGAGGGACAGGUGGCGGUUCAGCCGCACGAAAGAGAGCAAUAACAGGUCUGUGAUGCCCUUUGUUGUUCGGGGCCGCACGCGCGCUACACUGAAGAGAUCAGCGUGCUUUACGUUCCUGCUCCGACCGGAGUGGGGAAACCAGUGAACCUUCUUCGUGAUUGGGAUAGAAGAUUGGUAUUAUUCUUCUUGAACGGAGGAAUUCCCAGUAAUGCGAGUCAUAAGCUCGCGUUUGAUUACGUCCCCUGCCCUUUUGUACACACCGCCCGUCGCUACUACCGAUUGAACGA